UUUCCGUAGGUGAACCUGCGGAAGGAUCAUUAAAGAGUAAGGGUCUUCUAGGCCCGACCUCCCAACCCUUUGUUUACCAAACCAUUGUUGCUUCGGCGGGCCCGUCCCAGGACCGCCGGAGGACCGUCAAACGUCCUCUGGCCCGCGCCCGUCGAUAGCCCCUAUCAUUAAACUCUGAACCAAACGUGUCCUGUCUGAGUGAUUAUUAUCAAAAAUUAAAGCAAAACUUUCAACAACGGAUCUCUUGGUUCUG
rnacentral:misc_RNA from 1 species